GAUGAACGCUGGCGGCGUGCCUAAUACAUGCAAGUCGAGCGAAUGGAUUAAGAGCUUGCUCUUAUGAAGUUAGCGGCGGACGGGUGAGUAACACGUGGGUAACCUGGCCAUAAGACUGGGAUAACUCCGGGAAACCGGGGCUAAUACCGGAUAACAUUUUGAACCGCAUGGUUCGAAAUUGAAAGGCGGCUUCGGCUGUCAUUUAUGGAUGGACCCGCGUCGCAUUAGCUAGUUGGUGAGGUAACGGCACACCAAGGCAACGAUGCGUAGCCGACCUGAGAGGGUGAUCGGCCACACUGGGACUGAGACACGGCCCAGACUCCUACGGGAGGCAGCAGCAGGGAAUCUUCCGCAAUGGACGAAAGUCUGACGGAGCAACGCCGCGUGAGUGAUGAAGGCUUUCGGGUCGUAAAACUCUGUUGUUAGGGAAGAACAAGUGCUAGUUGAAUAAGCUGGCACCUUGACGGUACCUAACCAGAAAGCCACGGCUAACUACGUGCCAGCCGCCGCCGUAA
rnacentral:rRNA from 1 species